GAUGAACGCUGGCGGCGUGCCUAAUACAUGCAAGUCGAGCGAACAGACGAGGAGCUUGCUCCUCUGACGUUAGCGGCGGACGGGUGAGUAACACGUGGAUAACCUACCUAUCAGACUGGGAUCACUUCGGGAAACCGGAGCUAAUACCGGAUAAUAUAUUGAACCGCAUGGUUCAUUAGUGAAAGUCGGUUUUGCUGUCUCUUAUCGAUGGAUCCGCGCCGCAUUAGCUAGUUGGUAAGGUAACGGCUUACCAAGGCAACGAUGCGUAGCCGACCUGAGAGGGUGAUCGGCGACACUGGAACGGAGACACGGUCCAGACUCCUACGGGAGGCAGCAGUAGGGAAUGGGCCGCAAUGGGCGAAAGCCUGACGGAGCAAGGCCGCGUGAGAGAUGAAGGUCUUGGGAUCGUAAAACUCUGUUAUUAGGGAAAAACAAAUGUGGAAGUAACUAUGCACGUCUUGACGGUACCUAAUCAGAAAGCCACGGCUAACUACGUG
rnacentral:rRNA from 1 species